GCCGAUAUAGCACAGCGGUAGUGCAACUGAUUUGUAAUCAGUAGGUCGGGGGUUCAAGUCCCUCUAUCGGCACCA
rnacentral:tRNA from 1 species